UACGUAGGGUGCGAGCGUUGUCCGGAAUUAUUGGGCGUAAAGGGCUCGUAGGCGGUUUGUCGCGUCGGGAGUGAAAACCUCGGGCUUAACUCGGGGCUUGCUUUCGAUACGGGCAGACUAGAGGUAUGCAGGGGAGAACGGAAUUCCUGGUGUAGCGGUGAAAUGCGCAGAUAUCAGGAGGAACACCGGUGGCGAAGGCGGUUCUCUGGGCAUGAUCUGACGCUGAGGCGCGAAAGCCAGGGGAGCAAACGGG
rnacentral:rRNA from 1 species